UACAGAGGUCCCAAGCGUUGUUCGGAUUCACUGGGCGUAAAGGGUGCGCAGGUGGUCGGGUAAGUCUGAUGUGAAAUCCCGCAGCUCAACUGCGGAAUGGCAUUGGAUACUAUUUGGCUAGAGGGUUGGAGGGGGGACUGGAAUUCUCGGUGUAGCAGUGAAAUGCGUAGAUAUCGAGAGGAACACCAGUGGCGAAGGCGGCGACCUGGACAGUAACUGACACUCAACUACGAAAGCGUGGGGAGCAAACAGG
rnacentral:rRNA from 1 species